AACGAACGCUGGCGGCAUGCCUAACACAUGCAAGUCGAACGAGACCAUCGGGACUAUUGGCGCACGGGUGCGGAACGCGUGGGAACAUGCACUUAGGGUCGGAAUAACUCUCCGAAAGGGGUGCUAAUACCGGAUAAUGUCUUCGGACCAAAGAUUUAUCGCGUUUGGAUGGGCCCGCGUUGGAUUAGAUAGUUGGUAGGGUAAAAGCCUACCAAGGCGACGAUCCACAGCUGGUCUGAGAGGAUGAUCAGCCACACUGGGACUGAGACACGGCCCAGACUCCUACGCGAGGCAGCAGUGGGGAAUGUUGCACCGUGGGCGGAAGCCUGAUCCAGCACUGCCGCGUGAGUGAUGAUGGCCUUAGGGUUGUAAAGCUCUUUUACCCGUGCUGAUCAUGACAGUACCGGGAGAAUAAGCCCCGGCUAACUACGUG
rnacentral:rRNA from 1 species